AGCCGUGGGGUAUAUUACGCUAGAGUGCAAAUCUAGAGACGCACACCCAAAGGUGUGCCGCGGCUU
rnacentral:tRNA from 1 species